rnacentral:rRNA from 1 species
CAGCAGCCGCGGGAAUACGUAGGGUGCAAGCGUUAAUCGGAAUUACUGGGCGUAAAGCGUGCGCAGGCGGUUUGUUAAGACAGAUGUGAAAUCCCCGAGCUUAACUUGGGAACUGCAUUUGAAACUGGCAAGCUAGAGUCUUGUAGAGGGGGGUAGAAUGCCAGGUGUAGCGGUGAAAUGCGUAGAGAUCUGGAGGAAUACCGGUGGCGAAGGCGGCCCCCUGGACAAAGACUGACGCUCAGGUGCGAAAGCGUGGGGAGCAAACAGGAUUAGAUACCCGGGUAGUCCCUGUCUCUUAUAC